UGUGUGUGUGUGAGAGAGAGAGAGAGACAGAGACAGAGACAGAGACAGACAGACAGAGAGAGAGAGAUAGAGUUGUUGUUAGAUCCCCUGGAAAUGUAGUUAUAGAGGGGCGGCUGUGAGUCACUUAUGGGAGUGCUGGGAAUUGAACUUGGGUCCCCUGAAAGGACAAUCUGUGAUCUUAACUGCUGAGCAUAUUUGUUUAAUCUCUGUCAUGCCAGGGCUUUAUACAUAGAGUAUUCUACUGCCGAGCUACAUCCCUUGUCUCAUUUUCUUCUUCCUCAUUUUGCACACUAAGCUGUCCCAAGCCUUCAGUUUUAGCUUUUUUAUCUGUAGAGAACGCUGUUCGCCACCACAAUGCCACCUCUAAGAUCACCGUUCAAAAAAGCCAGUGUCAGGACAGCCCUGGGUUCUGCCCGUUAGCUGCCCUGUGGGGAUGAAUGAAUGAAUGCACGUGCUGGACAGCCCUGGGUUCUGCCCGUUAGCUGCCCUGUGGGGAUGAAUGAAUGAAUGAAUGAAUGAAUGAAUGCACGUACUGGACAGCCCUGGGUUCUGCCCGUUAGCUGCCCUGUGGGGAUGAAUGAAUGCACGUGCUAACCCCCUCUCCUGGCCUCAUGGCUCCUCUCUCCCUCUGCUCUUCCAGCCUCGCCAUUCACCCCCUGGCCCAGGUAGCUUUCAUCUGGUCACCCACUUCCUGGCUUUGGAUUUGGAGUACUUCGGCAGCUCCUGAAACAGAACCCGAGUUGGCACAGCCCCUCUGCCUACAGACACAGUUUGUCGUGGAGCCUCUAGUGACCAACUGCAUGACCUGGUGUUUCUUUCCCAAAUCCGUGGAGCCACAGAACUAGCCAGACCACUGAUGUUCAGGCAUGCGCCAGGCAGCUGGGUGCUGUGGAACACACAUCCCUUUCCCCAAAUAAAACGGAAAGCCUUCUAAA